rnacentral:rRNA from 1 species
UAUACAUGCAAGUCGUACGCUUCUUUUUCCACCGGAGCUUGCUCCACCGGAAAAAGAAGAGUGGCGAACGGGUGAGUAACACGUGGGUAACCUGCCCAUCAGAAGGGGAUAACACUUGGAAACAGGUGCUAAUACCGUAUAACAAUCGAAACCGCAUGGUUUUGAUUUGAAAGGCGCUUUCGGGUGUCGCUGAUGGAUGGACCCGCGGUGCAUUAGCUAGUUGGUGAGGUAACGGCUCACCAAGGCCACGAUGCAUAGCCGACCUGAGAGGGUGAUCGGCCACAUUGGGACUGAGACACGGCCCAAACUCCUACGGGAGGCAGCAGUAGGGAAUCUUCGGCAAUGGACGAAAGUCUGACCGAGCAACGCCGCGUGAGUGAAGAAGGUUUUCGGAUCGUAAAACUCUGUUGUUAGAGAAGAACAAGGAUGAGAGUAACUGUUCAUCCCUUGACGGUAUCUAACCAGAAAGCCACGGCUAACUACGUGCCAGCAGCCGCGGUAAUACGUAGGUGGCAAGCGUUGUCCGGAU